rnacentral:rRNA from 1 species
GGGGAAUUUUGGACAAUGGGCGCAAGCCUGAUCCAGCAAUGCCGCGUGCAGGAUGAAGGCCUUCGGGUUGUAAACUGCUUUUGUACGGAACGAAAAGCCUCUCUCUAAUACAGGGGGUUGUUACUGUUCCUGAAGGAAAAGCACCGGCCAACUACGUGCCAGCAGCCGCGGUAAUUACGUAGGGUGCAAGCGUUAAUCGGAAUUACUGGGCGUAAAGCGUGCGCAGGCGGUUUUGUAAGACAGUGGUGAAAUCCCCGGGCUCAACCUGGGAACUGCCAUUGUGACUGCAAGGCUGGAGUGCGGCAGAGGGGGAUGGAAUUCCGCGUGUAGCAGUGAAAUGCGUAGAUAUGCGGAGGAACACCGAUGGCGAAGGCAAUCCCCUGGGCCUGCACUGACGCUCAUGCACGAAAGCGUGGGGAGCAAACA